GCAUUUCUAGUUUUCUCAAAAUCAAACAAUCUUGAAGUCCAAAGAGGGUUUUGCAUUCUCGAAAGAGUUUCUGCUAAGAAUCGCCCUUGCGCAUCCUAGUGUCUCCUUCAAAACUGCUUAUAUUAAAAGUGAGGAUGACCUGCUUUGCACACGUGCUUCUCCUUCUCCUUGCCAUUGUUGUCUAGUGGGUUUGGGAUUCAUCUGAGUUCCCUUAACAAAUUGAAUGCAAGUGUUGGUGCAUUCAAGCUUUAAGGAUACAUCUCAGGUCCUGAUGUUUACACAGUGAAGAUAAACCUGUGAAUUAUGAGUUCAAGAAAAAGAGGUGCAGGGCCCAGAGUUGCAAAGCUACACUUGAGCUUCCUUCCCCACAGCCAAAGAAACUGACUGGAGAGUGCACUGUCCGGAGAGAGAUUCGAUCUUCACAGAAUAUUAUCGUGAGUCCAGAUUCCUCGGUCAGAUUGAAAUUUCAAGUCGGUCAAUUGAUAGAUCCCUUGCUCAUUGCACAUUUGGUGUAAACUGGAAAUCCAGAAGCUCUGCGCGACCCCUUUCAUACAAUGCCAGAAACUAGAACUGUAAGGAGACUGCAGCAUUCUACAAAAGCUAUCUGCUCAGAGCUUCCACAGCAGUCGUCCCAUCAGUGUGAUCAAUCUUCCACCCAAAGUUGUGGUGACGGUGUAUUAUCUGAUGAAAGUGUGAAAAUGAAACUUGUUAACAUCUGGAAUAGCAAAUUACAAACUCAAGGGGAGUGCUGGGAGUGCACAAGUACACACAAUUGGUAGUCAAAAGAAGAAUUUGCACCAACAAAAACUCAAAAUUUCUUAGAUUUUGUGAUAAAAUGGAGGGACUUUCGUCCAGAGAUUACAGUUGAGUACCUUAGCUAUAUCUCAGAUGUUUUUGUGACUUCUUCUCUAUUUUGUUAAGAUGAUGGACUUUUACCUUUUCUAAUAUGAGAUGCAGAGCGAUACUGGAACAGAGAAUCUUAAGAAUUAGGAUACUAUACUCAAUGUCACUUCUGGCGUCUUGCAUUUUGUUGGUGAUUCAUUAGUUCCUGACACCAUUAAUAAAAAUUGCCUGGAGGGUGCCAAAGCUCUCCAACAGGUUGAUAAGAAGGUUAUUCCAAUU